rnacentral:rRNA from 1 species
CGGCAACAGCUCAAAUUUGAAAUCUGGCCCUCGGGUCCGAGUUGUAAUUUGUAGAGGAUGUUUUUGGCGCGGUGCCUUCCGAGUUCCCUGGAACGGGACGCCUUAGAGGGUGAGAGCCCCGUACGGUUGGACACCAAGCCUCUGUAAAACUCCUUCGAC